CAUACUGGUUCUCUUACAAUCACCAAAGUUAAGCAAUGUUGAGUCUGGUCAGUACCUAGAUGAGUGAUCCGUUGGGAAUACCAGGUGCUGUAA